rnacentral:rRNA from 1 species
UAAACGACUCUCGGCAACGGAUAUCUCGGCUCACGCAUCGAUGAAGAACGUAGCAAAAUGCGAUACUUGGUGUGAAUUGCAGAAUCCCGUGAACCAUCGAGUUUUUGAACGCAAGUUGCGCCCGAAGCCAUUCGGAUGAGGGCACGUCUGCCUGGGCGUCACGC